rnacentral:rRNA from 1 species
AUGAUGCCAAGAGCAUACCAUUUGUACAAAGUCCCAAGAUCGAUGUCUUCUCACAUAUCUCACAUAAUAACUACUCGUGCUCUGUUUUUUCUUUGUAUUCAGGUUUCCAGAAUGAUUGGCCACACCUACCUAAAAAGUUCAGAAUUUAACCAUGAGCCCCUUCUGGCCUGGUUCCAUAUUCCAAGGCCCUUCCAUAAUCCAAUUCUUUGUCCCGAACCAUCCAUUGAAGAACAUAGACUGUGCAGAAUAUCAGUUUGUUAUAUUUGCAUCAGAUGA